CUACCCUUUGGCCUGGAAUAACACGAGGAAACUUGUGCUAAUACCGGAUAAGUCUUUACGGAGAAAGCUUUAUGCACCAUUGGAUGAGCCUGCACUUGAUUAGUUUGUUGGUGGGGUAAUGGCCUACCAAGACUGUGAUCAAUAGCUGAUUUGAGAGGAUGAUCAGCCACAUUGGGACUGAGACACGGCCCAAACUCCUACGGGAGGCAGCAGUGGGGAAUCUUGCACAAUGGAGGAAACUCUGAUGCAUCGAUGCCGCGUGAGUGAAGAAGGCCCUUGGGUUGUAAAGCUCUUUCGUCGGGGAAGAAAAUGACUGUACCCGAAUAAGAAGGUCCGGCUAACUUCGUGCCAGCAGCCGCGGUAAUACGAAGGGACCUACCGUAAUUCGGAAUUACUGGGCUUAAAAAGUUCGUAGGGGGUUGAAAAAGUUAGAGGUGAAAAUCCCAGAACUUAACUCUGGAACUGCCAUUA
rnacentral:rRNA from 1 species